rnacentral:rRNA from 18 species
CAGACCAUCGGCUAAGGUCCCAAAAUAUAUGUUAAGUUGAUCAAACGUUGUGCGAUUGCAUAGACAGCUAGGAUGUUGGCUUGGAAGCAGCCAUUCAUUUAAAGAGUGCGUAACAGCUCACUGGUCGAGUGACAGAGCAUCGAUAAUAAUCGGGCAUCAAGUGUAGUACCGAAGCUUAGGAUGUAUUUAUACAUGGUAGGGGAGCAUUCUCUAGGCGGCGAAGGUUUGCUGUGAGGCAUGCUGGAGCGUAGAGAAGCGCAAAUGUAGGCAUAAGUAACGAUAAUGCGGGUGAGAAACCCGCACACCGAUAGACUAAGGUUUCCCCGGCAAUGCUAAUCAGCCGGGGGUUAGUCGGGACCUAAGGCGAACCCGAACGGGGUAGUCGAUGGACAACAGGUUAAUAUUCCUGUACUGGCAUAUUCAGUGAUGGGGUGACGGAGUAGUGAAAGCGCUGCGAACUGACGGAAUAGUUCGUUGAAGGGUGUAGGUAUUGGACCGGUAGGUAAAUCCGCCGGACUAGCUGAACCUGAUAGUACCUUGAUCCUUCGGGAGACGGGAUAAUGCGCCUAAACAGACUUCCAAGAAAAACCUCUAAACUUAUGAAUAUGGUACCUGUACCGUAAACCGACACAGGUAGUCAAGGAGAGAAUCCUGAGGUGCUCGAGUGAAUCAUGGCUAAGGAACUAGGCAAAAUUGCCCUGUAACUUCGGGAGAAGGGGCCCCC